CCUACGGGUGGCAGCAGUGGGGGAUAUUGCACAAUGGGGGGAACCCUGAUGCAGCGACGCCGCGUGGGUGAAGGAGUGCUUCGGCAUGUAAAGCCCUAUCGGCAGGGAAGAAGCAAGACGGUACCUGACUAAGAAGCCCCGGCUAACUACGUGCCAGCAGCCGCGGUAAUACGUAGGGGGCGAGCGUUAUCCGGAUUCACUGGGUGUAAAGGGAGCGUAGACGGCCAAGCAAGCCAGGGGUGAAAGCUCGGGGCCCAACCCCGGGACUGCCCUUGGAACUGCAUGGCGGGAGUGCGGGGGGGGCAGGCGGAAUGCCUGGGGUAGCGGUGAAAUGCUUAGAUAUCAGGAGGAACACCGGCUGCGAAGGCGGCCUGCUGGACCGCGACUGACGUUGAGGCUCGAAAGCGUGGGGAGCGAACAGGAUUAGAUACCCCAGUAGUC
rnacentral:rRNA from 1 species